GGGCGGAUGGUUUGGACUUGCUGCUGCAGCUGCGGUUCUGCUGUGUCAUGCAAGAAGGAGGCGGCGGCGGCGGCCGGAGCUGGAGGGGGAGGAGGGGAGGAACCUGAUCCUCGGUAGCGAAGGGCUGGAGGCAAACACCGAGCUCCCCCUGAGCCGCCUGGGAGCAGGGAGGGUUCUGCUACCCUGAGGGGCCCUCCCCGCGGGGCAGAGGGGUUUCCUCAGCAGUGCCCCGGAGCAGGGACCGCGCCAGCCAGCAGAAACAGCUAGUUGUUGUCUGCAGUGAAGAAUAAUUGGAAGCAUGGUGCCUGUUUCUUUUCCUAGGAGUGUUCCACUGACUGACCUCUUUUUGUUUUCAAAUGAAGAGGAGCCAAGAAUAGGACAGCUUGGGAAGGUGAGCUGCGUAUAGCUCGUCAGGCUGAGCUCAUCCUCGUCUACGGCCAAACGUUGGUUUCUCAUUUCUAGAAGAUGAAAGAUGUGAUGACUCAGGAAAAACUUGCUGCUCGAGAUGUGAGUCUUCAGAUGUUCCUGCCGCCAUAUCUGACAGCUGCUGCCAAGAUUCCCUGGUGGGAUGGACUCUUAUACCUCAACAACCAGAAGCCCAAGUAAACUCUUCUAUAAAUUGAAUGACUCAUGCUUAAAAAAAAAAACAAAAAACAAACUAUCUUUA
rnacentral:lncRNA from 1 species